AACGGUUUGAGAAGAUGAGAGCCCCCAGUGACCCUACCAUGCUUAGACUCCUCGCCGAGGUUCAGCAAUCUGCAUUUGGUCAUAUUGAAUGAUCUGAGCAAAGGAGGAAGGCAACACAUCCCCCAAUGAGAAAGAGCAGUUACCCAAAAGAGCUUGCUUGGAUAACCAGUCUGCAGCUUGAUUUUGUUCCCAAUAAAUAUGAGGGAACUUACAUGAAAGGAAAGAUUAAUGAUAGCUAGAAUGUC
rnacentral:lncRNA from 1 species